rnacentral:rRNA from 1 species
GACGAACGCUGGCGGCGUGCUUAACACAUGCAAGUCGAGCGGUAAAGGCCCUUUCGGGGGUACGACGAGCGGCGAACGGGUGAGUAACACGUGGGUGACCUGCCCUCAGCUCUGGGAUAAGCCUGGGAAACCGGGUCUAAUACUGGAUAUGACUCCAUGACGCAUGUUGUGGGGUGGAAAGCCUUGUGCGGCUGAGGAUGGGCCCGCGGCCUAUCAGCUUGUUGGUGGGGNGAUGGCCUACCAAGGCGACGACGGGUAGCCGGCCUGAGAGGGCGGACCGGCCACACUGGGACGUGAGACACGGCCCACGACUCCUACGGGAGGGCAGCAGUGGGGAAGUCUUGCGCAAUGGGC